GUCCACGCCGUAAACGAUGGAUACUAGCUGUUGGGAUUUAUCUCAGUGGCUAAGCGAAAGUGAUAACUAUCCCACCUGGGGAGUACGUUCGCAAGAAUGAAACUCAAAGGAAUUGACGGGGGCCCCGCACAAGCGGUGGAGCAUGUGGUUUAAUUCGAUGAUACGCGAGGAACCUUACCAAGGCUUAAAUGUAGAUUGACCGGUUUGGAAACAGAUCUUUCGCAAGACAAUUUACAAGGUGCUGCAUGGUUGUCGU
rnacentral:rRNA from 1 species